AUAACUCUACACUUUGGUCGACCUUGAACUAGAUCAAUAAAAAGGUAACUAGAAGGUUUGCACACAAAUCACUUGUGGAACUCCUCAUCAAGUUGGACAAUUUUGUCUUUAACCUUUGUUCAGGAGUUAAAUAUUAAAUAUUAUUCAUUAACUAAUAUUACACUCACUGAAAAGAAGGGAUCCUUAAAUGAGUAAAGGUAGCGUAUCUGUUUUGACAAAAUAGCAUAUAUUCUUGAACUAAAUGACAAAUUUUCCCUUUAUAACUUUUUAUUCUAGCCAUUGUUUUUGAAGUGUCAGUGCUAUACAUCUUGCAUUCAGCCAUUUUUGUGUGAGCUACAGUUGCCAGAAUUUGCUUACUAGUAUGGAAAGGUCUAUUUUCAGAUUUAGGAAAUUUCUGAAUGUAAUUUCAGAAAGAAAAGGAAACUGCAAAGUGUUUGGAAAUUACCGUUAGUUAUAUUAGAUCUCAUCCCCUUUCACCUAUUCAAGGACAUGCUCCAACAGUUACUCCCCUCCUCUCCAUAUCAUUCCCCACUCCCCAUUUAGUGUGCAAAUAGUAUAGAACCUUUAUUAAAAAAACACAAAACCCCCCAACUUUCUUGACCUGAUAUCUCCCCUUCAGAUGCAACCCUAUUUCUUUGUUUCCUUUAUAGCAAAACUUAUUUUAAAAAGUGCCCGUAUUUGCUAUCUUCAAUUGUUUGGGUUUGUUUUCCCCUCUUUUUUCUAACUGAGGUCCCAUUCCGUCUGAACCCAGUGGAAUCGGGCUUUUAUCUUUAUGACCCAUGACACAGCUCUUGUCAAAGUUAUCAAUGCGUUUCACCUUCUUUGUCUUCUAGGAAAUCCCCAGGCUGCUUUUUCUACCGCUUCACUUCUCCUUCAGAGUCCUCAUCACAGUCCUUCCUGUCUCCCAGAUCUUUUAACACGGGAGUACCCCAGGGUUCAGUCUUCAAUAGAUCUCUUUUUCUAGCAUUUAUCUGAUCCCAUGACUUCAGCUGUCAUCUGCAUGUGGAUGAUUCCUAAAUUUUUAUCUCCCUUGUAGAUCUGAGCUCUAGUUUUAAGUAGGUAAUUGCCAACUGUACUAGUAUGUGUCCACUUGCUAAACUAUUAAAGUGAUAUGGCCUGCACCUCCAGACCUGCUAGUAUUUCUUUCCCCUACUUUCAGGAAGAGCCACCUGACCUAAUCUCUUUUACUUGCUAGCCUUUCGUUGUCCUUGCCCAUUACCCCCUCUACACCACCUUUUCUACCCUCCCUCUGCACCUCCCUCCUACCCUGUGAUACAUAAGUGUAAUUUAGUGUAACACUUUCCUCUUAAGAAAAGUCUCUGGAAAUUCCCUCAUCAUCACCAUGAUUUUGUCUUCCUUCAUUUAAAAUUUGUUCCUGAAGUGCUCCUUUCUCUGUGGAAAGUCUCUUAAGAUAGCUAAAAUAACUUAAUCCCUUUUGUCUAAAAUAUUGCCCUCUUUCCACCUGUUCCAUUUAUUCUUCUGCAGAAUGAAUGGUCCAGUCUUACAAGAGAUUCAUGCUGGCUCAGCCUACCAUAGUUCAGCUGAGCUGAGGCUGCCCUCAGUGGCGAGACAAAAUGUGUCUUGAAAACCCAUCAAUCUAAUGUAUGUUCUCUGGAA